GACGAACGCUGGCGGCGUGCUUAACACAUGCAAGUCGAGCGGUAAGGCCCUUUCGGGGGUACGACGAGCGGCGAACGGGCGAGUAACACGUGGGUGACCUGCCCUCAGCUCUGGGAUAAGCCUGGGAAACCGGGGUCGUAAUACCGGAUAUGACUCCAUGACGCAUGUUGUGGGGUGGAAAGCCUUGUGCGGCUGAGGAUGGGCCCGCGGCCUAUCAGCUUGUUGGUGGGGGUGANGGCCUACCAAGGCGACGACGGGUAGCCGGCCUGAGAGGGCGACCGGCCACACUGGGACUGAGACACGGCCCAGACUCCGUACGGGAGGCAGCAGGUGGGGAAUCUUGCGCAAUGGGCGAAAGCCUGACGCAGCGACGCCGCGUGAGGGA
rnacentral:rRNA from 1 species